rnacentral:rRNA from 1 species
UGGGGAAUAUUGCACAAUGGGCGCAAGCCUGAUGCAGCCAUGCCGCGUGUGUGAAGAAGGCCUUCGGGUUGUAAAGCACUUUCAGCGAGGAGGAAGGUGGUGAGCUUAAUACGCUCAUCAAUUGACGUUACUCGCAGAAGAAGCACCGGCUAACUCCGUGCCAGCAGCCGCGGUAAUACGGAGGGUGCAAGCGUUAAUCGGAAUUACUGGGCGUAAAGCGCACGCAGGCGGUUUGUUAAGUCAGAUGUGAAAUCCCCGGGCUCAACCUGGGAACUGCAUUUGAAACUGGCAAGCUAGAGUCUCGUAGAGGGGGGUAGAAUUUCCAGGUGUAGCGGUGAAAUGCGUAGAGAUCUGGAGGAAUACCGGUGGCGAAGGCGGCCCCCUGGACGAAGACUGACGCUCAGGUGCGAAAGCGUGGGGCAGCAAACAGGAUUAGAUACCCUGGUAGUCCACGCUGUAAACGAUGUCGAUUUGGAGGUUGUGCCCUUGAGGCGUGGCUUCCGGAGCUAACGCGUUAAAUCGACCGCCU